rnacentral:rRNA from 1 species
AUACGUAGGGGGCAAGCGUUAUCCGGAUUUACUGGGUGUAAAGGGAGCGUAGACGGUUAUGUAAGUCUGAUGUGAAAACCCGGGGCUCAACCCCGGGACUGCAUUGGAAACUAUGUAACUAGAGUGUCGGAGAGGUAAGUGGAAUUCCUAGUGUAGCGGUGAAAUGCGUAGAUAUUAGGAGGAACACCAGUGGCGAAGGCGGCUUACUGGACGAUGACUGACGUUGAGGCUCGAAAGCGUGGGGAGCAAACAGGAUUAGAUACCCUGGUAGUCCACGCCGUAAACGAUGCAUACUAGGUGUCGGGUGGCAAAGCCAUUCGGUGCCGCAGCAAACGCAAUAAGUAUGCCACCUGGGGAGUACGUUCGCAAGAAUGAAACUUAAAGGAAUUGACGGGG